rnacentral:rRNA from 1 species
GACAGAGGCCCCAAGCGUUAGGCGGAAUCACUGGGCUUAAAGCGUGUGUAGGCGGAUCGUUAAGUGUCUUGUGAAAUCCCACGGCUCACCCGUGGAACGGCUGGGCAUACUGGCGAUCUUGGGCCAACUAGGGGCAGUCGGAACAAGCGGUGGAGCGGUGAAAUGCGUAGAUAUCGCUUGGAACGCCGAAGGUGAAAACAGGUCGCUGGGGAUGUGCCGACGCUGAGACACGAAAGCCAGGGGAGCAAACGGG